UACGGAGGGUGCAAGCGUUAUCCGGAUUCACUGGGUUUAAAGGGUGCGUAGGUGGGCAAGUAAGUCAGUGGUGAAAUCUCCGGGCUUAACCCGGAAACUGCCAUUGAUACUAUUUGUCUUGAAUACUGUGGAGGUCAGCGGAAUAUGUCAUGUAGCGGUGAAAUGCUUAGAUAUGACACAGAACACCGAUUGCGAAGGCAGCUGGCUAAACUAAAAUUGACGCUGAGGCACGAAAGUGUGGGGAUCAAACAGG
rnacentral:rRNA from 1 species